AUAAAUAUGGAUUAAGUACCGACCGUCCAUAGAGUAAGUGACAAAGGGCUUGAUGGUUGGUAUCCGAGACCCAAAUUCGAAUCUUAGUUGAUUCACAUUUCCAGCUAAGUUUAUUUCUAAAUGUUAUAAACGAAGCGGAUAGCGCGCUAUCUAUCUCUAAAAAAAAUUAAACAUGGAUGAAGUGGUGGACAAUUUUUUGUUUUGUUUUGUUUUUGUUUUUGGGUGAA
rnacentral:lncRNA from 1 species